GUGCUCUGAUCUGUGAUGAGGCUGAAAAACUCGGAAAGUGUGUGUUGUCAUCAGCUUCGGCUCUGUACUUGUGAGUUGGGAGUUAAAUAACAGCACAAGAUUG
rfam:Sorghum bicolor cultivar BTx623 chromosome 9, whole genome shotgun sequence.